rnacentral:rRNA from 1 species
UGGGGAAUAUUGGACAAUGGGCGAAAGCCUGAUCCAGCCAUGCCGCGUGUGUGAAGAAGGUCUUCGGAUUGUAAAGCACUUUAAGUUGGGAGGAAGGGCAGUAAGUUAAUACCUUGCUGCUUUGACGUUACCGACAGAAUAAGCACCGGCUAACUCUGUGCCAGCAGCCGCGGUAAUACAGAGGGUGCAAGAGUUAAUCGGAAUUACUGGGCGUAAAGCGCGCGUAGGUGGUUUGUUAAGUUGGAUGUGAAAGCCCCGGGCUCAACCUGGGAAAUGCAUCCAAAACUGGCAAGCUAGAGUACGGUAGAGGGUGGUGGAAUUUCCUGUGUAGCGGUGAAAUGCGUAGAUAUAGGAAGGAACACCAGUGGCGAAGGCGACCACCUGGACUGAUACUGACACUGAGGUGCGAAAGCGUGGGGAGCAAACA